rnacentral:rRNA from 1 species
UACGUAGGGGGCAAGCGUUGUCCGGAAUCAUUGGGCGUAAAGCGCGUGUAGGCGGCUCGGUAAGUCCGCUCUGAAAGUCCAGGGCUCAACCCUGGGAUGCGGGUGGAUACUGCCGGGCUCGAGUCCGGAAGAGGCGAGUGGAAUUCCCGGUGUAGCGGUGAAAUGCGCAGAUAUCAGGAAGAACACCAAUGGCGAAGGCAGCUCUCUGGGACGGUACUGACGCUGAGACGCGAAAGCGUGGGGAGCGAACAGG